rnacentral:rRNA from 1 species
CCUACGGGAUGCUGCAGUGGGGAAUAUUGGACAAUGGGCGAAAGCCUGAUCCAGCCAUGCCGCGUGUGUGAAGAAGGCCUUCGGGUUGUAAAGCACUUUCAGUGGGGAAGAAAGCCUUGGGGCUAAUACCCUCGAGGAAGGACAUCACCCACAGAAGAAGCACCGGCUAACUCCGUGCCAGCAGCCGCGGUAAUACGGAGGGUGCGAGCGUUAAUCGGAAUUACUGGGCGUAAAGCGCGCGUAGGCGGUCUGAUAAGCCGGUUGUGAAAGCCCCGGGCUCAACCUGGGAACGGCAUCCGGAACUGUCAGGCUAGAGUGCAGGAGAGGAAGGUAGAAUUCCCGGUGUAGCGGUGAAAUGCGUAGAGAUCGGGAGGAAUACCAGUGGCGAAGGCGGCCUUCUGGACUGACACUGGCGCUGAGGUGCGAAAGCGUGGGUAGCAAACAGGAUUAGAUACCCGAGUAGUC